AUAGAUAUAUAUUAUGUUUACUCCAUAAAAAAAUGUAUUUAUGGUAAAAUUAUACAUGUUUCAUAUAUAUUUCAACAGGUUAACCCUAUCAGUCUGUUCCGCAACAUUCCUAGGGAUUGUGUGACGUCUUGCUCCGCCUAAUGGAAUGCAAAUGCCGGACUUCAUCGCCGAAUCUUGUUCUGUAUUCCUACUGGCAGAGCUCCUGUGCAUGGCGUGUCCGCUUUGCUCUAAACCUGAAAGGGCUUUCUUAUGAGUACAAAGCAGUAAACCUUGCAAAAGGAGAACAAUUUUCUCCAGAGUUUGAACAGUUAAAUCCUCUUCAUUAUGUUCCCGUGUUGGUUGAUGGUGAUGUGGUGGUCUCAGACUCUUAUGCGAUAUUGUUGUAUUUGGAAGAAAAGUAUCCUCAAAAAGCAUUGUUGCCAGAUGAUCCUCAGAGAAGAUAUUUGAAUCUGCAGGCUGCCAGCAUCAUCAGCUCUAGCAUACAACCUCUACAUAUGGUGUCAAUGCUGAAAUAUCUCGAAGAAAAAAUAGGUCCUGAAGAGCCAUUAUUAUGGGCUCUAUCUAGUAUUGAAAAAGGUUUCCUUGCUCUUGAGAGGUUGCUGAAAGAUUUUGCAAGCAGUUAUGCCACAGGAGAAGCAGUAUAUAUGGCUGACGUGUUUCUGGCUCCACAGAUAGCUGUCGCUAUAAUGAGGUUCAAAAUUGAUAUGUCCAAGUUUCCAACUUUAGCUAGGAUAUAUGAAUCAUACAAGGGCUUACCGGAGUUCAUAGCUUCACUACCACAAUCGCAACCCGAUGCAGGGCAGUAAGGGUUAAUUUGGAGGUUGUCAUGUUGCAUCUUAUGUACUUGUGUUUGAAUUACUACCAGCUGUUGUAUCCAAGAGAUUAUUUAAAUCCGGAAAGAGUGCUUGUGCAGGAGUAAGAUAGAAACGGCGUAUUGCUACAAUAUAGUCCUGAUGUGAACAAAAGAAUCCAGGCAAACCCACGAUUGCUGGAUGCACAAUGUGGCCGGCUGCUCUCCAGCUAUACUUGCUGCCAGUUCGUCGUGAUUAUUGAGAAACAAAACCAGCCUUGUUCAAUCUUCCAUACGUAGUGAUCGUGUGGAACUUCUGUUACUGCUUCAGACAGCGUCUUCAGUUUCUGUUAUUUGCAGGAAAUUAAUGAGCGAGCAGAACUAUAUAAAAGCUUGAAACUGAAUUACGAUGUGAUCUUUUAUUGAACUACUUCUAAUCAAUGUCCCACAAAUUAUUGUAUUAAAACAAAGUUAAAGGAGAAAAAAAAAAAAAAACCAAACAAAUAAAA